GGUUCCUCUGCAUCCCUGUGGAACCUCGAUGCACUCUAGGCCACAAAGAGUAGGAGGUCUGCUGAAACGGGCCUUGAAACCUAGGGCGUGGUCCCAGGUGGAGUUGCUACAGGUGAGGAAUUCACCUAAUUCAACAGAUACUAGAGGCAGGCCUGACAGCAGCUGGAUAGCUUGGCUUCCUGGCCCUAUGGGACACACUAAGAUUCAAUCAUGAAAUUCAAGCAAAAGUAGUCAAUUACCAUUCUUGUGUUUAUGCAAACAAUCAGGCCAAAUUGAAUACAAUAGAUAAAUUGUUCUUGAUCUGGUUCUUUUGAUAAACGUAGAGUUAAUUAUGAGGAGAAAAAUUCUAUUUCAAUAGAGCUAAUUAAAACUGAAAUGUUUUAUUUCCCUUCCACCAGACCAUUUGUU